rnacentral:rRNA from 1 species
AUUGAACGCUGGCGGCGGGCCUAACACAUGCAGGUCGAACGAGGGGCGGACGGUUGAGUAAUGUCUGGGAAACUGCCGGAUGGAGGGGGAUAACUCCUGGAACCGUUAGCUAAUCCCGCAUACCAUCAGAUGUGCCCAGUUGGGAUUGGCUAGUAGGUGGGGUAACGGCUCACCUAGGCGACGAUCCCUAGCUGGUCUGAGAGGAUGACCAGCCACACUGGAACUGAGACACGGUCCAGACUCCUACGGGAGGCAGCAGUGGGGAAUAUUGCACAAUGGGCGAAAGCCUGAUGCAGCCAUGCCGCGUGUAUGAAGAAGGCCUUCGGGUUGUAAAGUACUUGCAGCGGGGAGGCGUUACCCGCAGAAGAAGCACCGGCUAACUCCGUGCCAGCAGCCGCGGUAAUAC